rnacentral:rRNA from 1 species
CCGGAGAAUGUUAUCACGGGAGACACACGGCGGGUGCUAACGUCCGUCGUGAAGAGGGAAACAACCCAGACCGCCAGCUAAGGUCCCAAAGUCAUGGUUAAGUGGGAAACGAUGUGGGAAGGCCCAGACAGCCAGGAUGUUGGCUUAGAAGCAGCCAUCAUUUAAAGAAAGCGUAAUAGCUCACUGGUCGAGUCGGCCUGCGCGGAAGAUGUAACGGGGCUAAACCAUGCACCGAAGCUGCGGCAGCGACACUCAGGUGUUGUUGGGUAGGGGAGCGUUCUGUAAGYCUGYGAAGGUGGCCUGUGAGGGUUGCUGGAGGUAUCAGAAGUGCGAAUGCUGACAUAAGUAACGAUAAAGCGGGUGAAAAGCCCGCUCGCCGGAAGACCAAGGGUUCCUGUCCAACGUUAAUCGGGGCAGGGUGAGUCGACCCCUAAGGCGAGGCCGAAAGGCGUAGUCGAUGGGAAACGGGUUAAUAUUCCCGUACUUGGUGUUACUGCGAAGGGGGGACGGAGAAGGCUAUGUUGGCCGGGCGACGGUUGUCCCGGUUUAAGCGUGUAGGUGUGUGUUCCAGGUAAAUCCGGUUCACUUUAACACUGAGGCGUGAUGACGAGGCACUACGGUGCUGAAGCAACAAAUGCCCUGCUUCCAGGAAAAGCCUCUAAGCAUCAGGUAACAUCAAAUCGUACCCCAAACCGACACAGGUGGUCAGGUAGAGAAUACCAAGGCGCUUGAGAGAACUCGGGUGAAGGAACUAGGCAAAAUGGUGCCGUAACUUCGGGAGAAGGCACGCUGACACGUAGGUGAAGUGAUUUACUCAUGGAGCUGAAGUCAGUCGAAGAUACCAGCUGGCUGCAACUGUUUAUUAAAAACACAGCACUGUGCAAACACGAAAGUGGACGUAUACGGUGUGACGCCUGCCCGGUGCCGGAAGGUUAAUUGAUGGGGUCAGCGCAAGCGAAGCUCCUGAUCGAAGCCCCGGUAAACGGCGGCCGUAACUAUAACGGUCCUAAGG